AAGGCCAUCGGGUUGUAAAGCACUUUUGUCCGGAAAGAAACUUCUGCCUAAUACGGUGGGAGGAUGACGGUACCGGAAGAAUAAGCACCGGCUAACUACGUGC
rnacentral:rRNA from 1 species